rnacentral:lncRNA from 1 species
CCACCAAUUUAUUUUUUACUACCACUACCACUUUCGGAAUAAAAUUUUUUGACACUUUUAUCGAGGUUUCUUAUUUUAUUCAUAUUAUAAAUUAAACUAAAAAAUAUUCAAAAUGUACAAAAAUAAUAAAAAUAAAUAUUCAACAAUUAAUACACUAAUUAAAAACUAAAAGUAAGAGAUGGAACGACAAUACCAGAUUUUGGAAGUUUCUGAAAAUUGCGACUUUAGAAAACUUUCACUUGAUAUUUGUAAUCGCAAAAUUUAAAAAUAAAAUUGAGCACUUCAGAAGAUAAUUAGAAUAUUUGAGAG